rnacentral:pre_miRNA from 1 species
UCGGGUUUCGCGGUAUUCGAACACGUACCAAUAGCAGUUGUUCGUUGUCGUCGAAACCUGCUU